rnacentral:piRNA from 1 species
UAUGAAGUGACAAAGACAGACCUCCA